rnacentral:rRNA from 1 species
CAGAGGGUGCGAGCGUUGUUCGGAAUUACUGGGCGUAAAGCGCGCGCAGGCGGCCCUUUAAGUCUACCCGUGAAAUGCCGGAGCUCAACUCCGUGCACGCCGGGGGAUACUGGGGGGCUGGAGACAUGUAGAGGCAAGCGGAAUUCCGGGUGUAGCGGUGGAAUGCGUAGAUAUCCGGAAGAACACCUGAGGCGAAGGCGGCUUGCUGGGCAUGAUCUGACGCUGAGGCGCGAAAGCGUGGGGAGCAAACAGGAUUGGAUACCCUGGUAGUCCACGCCGUAAACGAUGGGCACUAGACGCGGGUGGGAUCGACCCCUUCCGUGUCGCAGCUAACGCGAUAAGUGCCCCGCCUGGGGAGUACGGCCGCAAGGCUG